UACAGAGGGUGCAAGCGUUGCUCGGAUUUACUGGGCGUAAAGCGCACGUAGGCGGCUUUGUAAGUUAGAGGUGAAAGCCCAGGGCUCAACCCUGGAAUUGCCUUUAAGACUGCAUCGCUUGAACAUCGGAGAGGUAAGUGGAAUUCCGAGUGUAGAGGUGAAAUUCGUAGAUAUUCGGAAGAACACCAGUGGCGAAGGCGACUUACUGGACGAUUGUUGACGCUGAGGUGCGAAAGCGUGGGGAGCAAACAGG
rnacentral:rRNA from 1 species